rnacentral:rRNA from 1 species
AGUGGGGAAUCUUGCGCAAUGGACGAAAGUCUGACGCAGCGACGCCGCGUGAGGGAUGAAGGUUUUCGGAUCGUAAACCUCUGUCAGAAGGGAAGAAAAAGCUAUGCAAUAAUAAGGCAUAGCCCUGACGGUACCUUCAAAGGAAGCACCGGCAAACUCCGUGCCAGCAGCCGCGGUAAUACGGAGGGUGCAAGCGUUAAUCGGAUUAACUGGGCGUAAAGCGCACGUAGGCGGUAUUGUAAGUCAGAGGUGUAAUCCCACAGCUCACCUGUGGAACUGCCUUUGAAACUACAGUACUAGAAUGUAGGAGAGGAUAGUGGAAUUUCUAGUGUAGGAGUGGAAUCUGUAGAUAUUAGAAGGAACACCAGUGGCGAAGGCGACUAUCUGGACUAUUAUUGACGCUGAGGUGCGAAAGCGUGGGGAGCAAA